UGGAGGACUGAGAAGGUGGGGCAGAUCCAUACCGUGCUGUCUCCCAUUGGUUAAGACCUCCGACAGUAAAGGGCUGGCCAGACAAAGGAUGUCCUUCUCCAUCACCUUGGAGGGGCAGCACUGUGCUGGUCCACACUCU
rnacentral:snoRNA from 1 species